UACAGAGGUCUCAAGCGUUGUUCGGAUUCAUUGGGCGUAAAGGGUGCGUAGGUGGGCUAGUAAGUCAGUGGUGAAAUCUCCGGGCUUAACCCGGAAACUGCCAUUGAUACUAUUAGUCUUGAAUACCAUGGAGGUGAGCGGAAUAUGUCAUGUAGCGGUGAAAUGCUUAGAUAUGACAUAGAACACCAAUUGCGAAGGCAGCUCGCUACGCGGUUAUUGACACUGAGGCACGAAAGCGUGGGGAUCAAACAGG
rnacentral:rRNA from 1 species